rfam:Streptococcus sinensis strain HKT4 scaffold28, whole genome shotgun sequence.
CAAUACCUAUGAUGGUCAAAGCUCAUGGAUGUUGCAGGCUUUUUUGUCCUGCACUUCUAGAGACUU